AUGAUAGGUUGUUGGAUUGAAAUAAAACUAUCAAAAAUAAAAUUUUCGGUUUUGGAAAAGUAGGUAGAGCGAGUACUUUCCAUGUACAGUAAUCGAUUUGCGGGCUUUCGUGGGCCCAGGCGACCAGAUCGGCCGGCGGCGAGGGGGACCGCAUCGCCGUGCUUCUCCGUCGCCGCCGCACCACUUCGCCGAAGCUGGAGGCGUUGGCCCCCGCGCGGUGGCGCCGGGGGAGGGCGACGGCGGCGGAACGCCGGCGAGAAGCGCGCCGCUGAGCCGUCGAUCGAGGCGCCCCCGCGCAGCAGUAAGUACUACGCCCUGUGCGUUGCGGGAGGCGGGAGAACAUGGCUGCGGCCGUGGAAGGCACCGGGCGUCGACGUCUGCUGCGCCAACCCCGGCGGCCGCAUCCUUCUCCGGCGGGCCGGCGCACCGCGCGCCGCAGGCAGCCGGUUGGUGGGGAAAAGGUAUACCGUAUACCUGCUGCAUGAAAUCUCCUUUCCUCUAAGAGCCGAAAAAUUCACUAAAUUACACUACAGUUCUGAAAUCUGUAGCAGCAUUUGUACGGUAAUGACAUCGAUGGCACUGACAAACAACAUUUCAGAUUUUCAUCAGCUUAUAUCAGAUUGCAUAGUCUCUGAGGCGCACCAAUGCUGACAUUACAAUCUACAAAUCACUUUCUGAUUUUUGAUUUGCACGUUUGGCUGUCGUAUGGUGACGGCAUCAGGAGAAAGAGCACAAUACCUACACUACACUUCACUUAUACAACACUAAGUCACUAAUCCUAGUACUUAUACUGUGAAGUUCGUUUGACCGUCCCAACAAAUAUUGGAAAGACAUCCACUCUUAAAUAUAUAUUUUUGUCCAGCAGAACAUUCUUCCUAGAAUAAAUUAUCUGAGACUAGCCACUUGGCAGUGGGGGAUCCUGAAUUGGGUGUCAUGAACAAGCCUUGCAUGAUUUACCAUUUGGUCACAGGGACCCCUUUUAUGUUCUGAUCAUGCACAUUAUUAUAUUUGAAUUUUAGGUGAAUAUUCCAUGCAUCUUUUACGUAUGGUCUCUCCACUUCCGUUGAAUACCGCAACACUUUCUGACCUUAUUCUCAAAUAAAACUUCAUUCAGCCCUGUUUAAGCUUUAAUUGGACCAAUUGAAAUGAAGAAUUUCCAAUUUCCGACAGAGAUCUGUCGAGUGCACAAAGAUUGUGUAUCCUUAUCGUGUCCACAAUCAAGAACUAAUAAUUGUAAUUGGUGAAGGGUUAGUAGGCCAGCUCCUAAUUUUCUUAUCAGAGUCAACAUUAGCAUCCACAGGCACUUUUGUUCAUGCCAUGUGUUCUUCCCUCACAAUCUCCUUAUGAUUGAUUUGUCCACGGGAGAAUUGCCAUCACUUCGGUUCUUGCUUCAUUUCUUCUCUGGGUAAUGGAAUAAGGUGUGAGUGAAACACCUCACAUGAUGCCUUUCUUCUCCCUCCACUUGAGAAAGCAAAUUGUUCCUGUAAUUUGAAAUCGGCCGGCUUGCUGAGUUGCUGACUGUGCUGGUAAUUACCGGCAACAUGCUUUGCUCCUAGCAUUAUUGAUUAUCUUGUUUUAUUUUUUUUUUCCACAUCACAUAAAUGAAACAGUGUUGGGAGUUAAAUUUACUAGCACAGGAGCCAACUAAUCUUGUACCAGGCACAUUCAUCAGAAUUAUAUAUAUGCAGGCUUAGGCUACACAAAAGCUUGUACUAAACAGUACUACUAGUUAGACUUGUCAUCAUAGUGAAGUUAACAAAGUUAUCACUUAUCAGUGCAUCGUACUUGGCAUUAGCGGCCGACAGAGAAUCCGCCAGCCACACUCCCCACCUCUAGGGGAGGGGAGUGACAGUCAAGUAUCCCUUCAUUCUCCCUCUACAAUGCAGCUCAUGCAUAGCCUUUUGAUGGAAAAGCAGAAAUUCCAGAGAGGCAGCAAGAGCAUACCAUUUUGAUUAGCUCACCACUGGCUCUCCUGGUUGCCCUAAAGUAAGAAGUAGUGUAGUACACUUUUGUAGUUUUGUUGCUAAUCUAUUCGGCUAAUUCCUACUAUAUUGAUUUUGGAAUCUUGUGUUCUUUGGAUUUACUUACCUUUGUAUUCCUGCAAGGGUCAAGUGCUCAGGGGCGGAUCUACAGUAUAAGCGUCAGUGUCAAGCGACACCGAUGACUUUCGGCAAAACCUAUAACAAAACUGCUUAUCCAUAUACUAUAACACUAUGUUCUAAGUAUAAUUAGCAUACUAUGACACCGACAGACACGUUAUGACACCAACAAACUGAUUUUCUGGAUCCGCCACUGCAAGUGCUGACAGAGUUAUUGCAGACUCGCAGUCCGUCUUCAGGUACAUCUGAAUUGUUUACCCAUUACAAACAUGCAUCAGAGCUUUCGAUAUUUAUUGCAUCAUGUACUGAAAAUUUUCUAUACAUUAGCGUAUGGUACAUUCUAUGACAAGUUUAAGUUGCUGAUACAACAAUAGAAGCAUUGCAACUUUUCAUGGAAUCUCAUGACUAGUGACAAUAAGAAAUAUCUUAGGACUGUAGGGAGACGAGAUAGCCGUAUGCUAGUUGCAAGAGGCAUCGGUUUCAUUCAUGCAACAUUGGGCCGACUGUAAAAAGCUUACUCAUUGCUCUUCUCAUCAUUGAGUCACAAUGCUUGGAUUCCCUCUUGACCGAUCUUUUGAUAUCAUGGCAACCUCUGGUGCUGCACCUUUGCCAGUUGCAAACAGUUUGGAGGGUAGUUCUUGGUCGUCCAUUACUUCACUGAAGAUUCCGAAAUCCAACAAAAUUCAGGCCGUUCUUCAGAAAGAAGCAAGCACUGCAGAGCUGAACUCUGCUUCAUUGGAUGGUCAAAAAGGAAGGCUGCUGAAGAUUGGCUGCAUUUGGGCUCUUAGGAAUCGAUAUGUGCCUGCAGAAAGAUCGGUCAAGAUUAUUCCUCACGGUUAAUGCUGCACUGGCUGUUCAUUUGGUUAAAUUUUGCUUGAUAGCAGUAGGAUGUUUAGAGCUGCCAGCUUCAGGCUUCCGUAGUGCCGUGUUCAAGAAAUCAGUGUGUUGAUUCUAUGACUGAAAUAGUUUGCAAGACAUGGAUAGUAUAUAGAGAAAAUGUCGCUGCUUUUGCCAAUCGCAUCAUCAAGGCAGCAAAGCUAUUCCACUAUCUUGAUUCUAUGACAGUUGAAAGAGAUAUAAGCAUCUACGUAACUUAAACCGUGUUAUUCCAGACAGUGUAAGCACCAAGAUCUCCGAUGGCCAAACCGGCCGUGUGACCGUAUUCGUACCAAAUAAAAACAGAAUUACUUUUUCCUCGAAGAAUUCGUAUUGGUAGAUUAAGAUAGUAAUAAAUAUACAAUUUCAGGAUCUA